rnacentral:lncRNA from 1 species
GGUAAUAAAGAUUAGUAGGAGUGGUGGCUCAAGUGUCUUAGGGCUCUGAUACGUACGGGAUGGGAUUUUCUUAUUGUUUUUCAUUCCUAUAUAUCAAUUUUUGAAUAUUGCUGACGUAGCCCUAUGGUUGUUGAAUUUAUGUUGAUAAGGUUUUUAUGCCAAGAUUUAAUUAUGGAGAUUUAAACAGUUGCUGUUGUUGUUUUGAUGCAAAUUUUCCGCUGUA